rnacentral:rRNA from 1 species
UACGUAGGGUGCGAGCGUUGCCCGGAAUUAUUGGGCGUAAAGAGCUCGUAGGCGGCCUGUCGCGUCGGUUGUGAAAGCCCGGGGCUUAACCCCGGGUCUGCAGUCGAUACGGGCAGGCUAGAGUUCGGUAGGGGAGAUCGGAAUUCCUGGUGUAGCGGUGAAAUGCGCAGAUAUCAGGAGGAACACCGAUGGCGAAGGCAGGUCUCUGGGCAUUAACUGACGCUGAGGAGCGAAAGCGUGGGGAGCGAACAGG